rnacentral:misc_RNA from 1 species
GUUCUUUUUUGCUGUUUCGGGUAUAUCAUUGCUAACAUCUUCAUUUGCAUUGGUUUCACUUGUGGACUCUAACGUUGUGGAGAAACCACCAUUUUCUGGCUGGUUUUCAUCACCGGAAGACCUGUUUUGCUGAGAUAACUCACUACUGCCAAUAUUUACAGUAUCUCUGGUAUUGCUUUGACCACUCAAACUGUUCUUACCACCAUCACCCUCAUUCCCCGUACAAUUGGAUACACCCUCUGUGUUCU